rnacentral:tRNA from 1 species
GCCAGGGUGGCAUAGUGGUUUGAGUGUUGGACUAUGACUCUGGAGACUAGGGUUCGAAUUCCAGCUUGGCCA